UGCGUAGGUGGCCAUGUAAGCGCGGGGUGAAAGGCAAUAGCUUAACUAUUGUAAGCCUUGCGAACUGUGUGGCUUGAGUGCAGGAGAGGAAAGUGGAAUUCCUAGUGUAGCGGUGAAAUGCGUAGAUAUUAGGAGGAACACCAGUGGCGAAGGCGACUUUCUGGAUUGUAACUGACACUGAGGCACGAAAGCGUGGGGAGCAAACA
rnacentral:rRNA from 1 species